GGCUCGGGACCUCGGGUCCCCGGCCGGUGGCUGCGUGGGAAGCGGCUCAACUCGGUGCACUUGUUCACUCUUUCUUCAUUGGAGGAGGAGCCAGUGUUGCAACCUUCAUGUUCCUUGCUGGAGGCAAAACAGUGAUUUUCUGCAGCAGGCGAAAUGUCCAGGGCCUGCCAGUUUUACGAGUUUUCAACAGAAAACAGGCCAGGAUGUCUGAGUGGGUGAGAGACUGCACAGAGAAGAGACAAGACUGCCACCUCCUCUGCAAACCUCACAGAAAUGACUCCACUGUCGUCAGGAUUUCCUGGAGGGCCACCUUUGCACAUAUGUUUGAGAAGGUGAGUGGACGUUUUUUGCAGUGUGGUAUGUGGAAAGCCAAAAGGGAAAGCUUUCAGCCCUGUAGUCGCAGGGAAUUUUCACCCUCUUAGAAGCACUGAGAACCCCUCAAAAAGCUUAUAUUUUGUAUGAAGAUAUUUGCCAUCUUAGACAUUAAAAAUAAAAAAAUAUUAAAAUGUGAUGCA
rnacentral:lncRNA from 1 species